UAUAUCCUACGGGAGGCAGCAGUGGGGAAUAUUGCACAAUGGGCGAAAGCCUGAUGCAGCAACGCCGCGUGAAGGAAGAAGGCCUUCGGGUCGUAAACUUCUGUCCUUGGGGAAGAAGAACUGACGGUACCCAAGGAGGAAGCCCCGGCUAACUACGUGCCAGCAGCCGCGGUAAUACGUAGGGGGCAAGCGUUAUCCGGAAUUAUUGGGCGUAAAGAGUACGUAGGUGGCAACCUAAGCGCAGGGUUUAAGGCAAUGGACCAACCAUUGUUCGCCCUGCGAACUGUGAUGCUUGAGAGCAGGAG
rnacentral:rRNA from 1 species